UAAAAUCUUUUUGAAAAGUGUUUUUCUCUCAGUGCCACGCACGUGUGUGAAUGCUCCAGGUGCUGCCCUACCCCCAGAGGGAAACACUUUUCAGCAAACUUUCAGAAGUUUAUGCUCCAGAUUACCCCCCUCUUGUAGCGACCAUUUCUAGAAGGAUCCAUAGACUGCAGACUAAUGAUCUCCUGCCAAGAUGAGCGAAGUUUAAAUCGAAACCUUCUGUCUCAGGCUUUAAACUCUUGGGAGUGCACGGGUGUCCAGAGAGGGGAGCCGCUCCCCAAGCACCCUUCUCCACUGGCACCAGGAAGACAAAGCCUGCCUAACCUCUGGGCAUCCAGAUGGUGGCACUUGGCCUACUGGGCUAGAGCUGCGCCACUCUCCUGGUGAGGACACUGCUGCACCCUGAGGGUUCACAGGGCAAGGUUGGAGCAGCUGGGACUUCCCUGCGCUGGGAAUGGGAUCACUGCAGCCGAUAUGGACACACCUAAUCCUCAUCAACGCCAAUUUCUACACGGGCUCCGCCUACUCCAUGCAGCCCCGCCCCUCAACAGAACCCAGGAAGUGAAGGAACCUGAAAGUUUUCCCCAAGGCAUCAAGAACUGUGAGUGUCUCAGGCCCCAGGCGGUGUGCCCUGCCAGCCAAUAUCAACCCUGGAGAGAGUGAAGUGGUGCACUGGGCGUGGGGUCCUGGUGGGGCUUCUCUCAGCACUCCCUUCUGACUUGUUCAAGCAGUGUGUUGGGAGCCCUCAGCCCUUCGCGGUGUGUGGAAGAUGGGGAGCGAUGCCAUGCUUUCCCACCCUAUCGUGUGUGUGUCAUCUUUAGGCAAAUCUGUGACCACCUCUCCUGACAGCAGACAAGAAAACAGAGCUGGAGAAAGUGAAUAAAACACAAUUCUUCCAUCAGUGCUCACCACUGACUGCCAGCACAGCUCCACCAUCUGUGCUGUGGUCAUCACAGCAGCAAAUGCCUUUUUGCACACUCAGUCCUCAGUGACCCUCAGCCUGUAGCCAACAUCAGAAUCUCCCAAAGGCCUAGUGAGGGCACACACUGCCCGGCCCCACCUCCAGCUUCUGAUUCAGCAGCUCUGGCGUGCCUCCUAAGAAUUUUAACUUCUACCAACUCCCUGGUGGUGCCAAUGCUGCUGGUCCUCAGGCUGGUGUGGGUAGCAAGGCUCUACAGCACUGCUUUCCAUAUAGGGUUGGAGUCGCCCUCCCAGAGAUUCUGAUCCUGGGAGGAGCCUACCAAAGGGCAACAUUAAAAAACCCAGGUAAGUUUAGUUAGUAACAAGGAUGGCACGUCAGGAGGGAAAAGUGCAUAGUGUUGGUUGAACUGGCUUGCAUUUGAGGAAACACUCAGAUACCACCUCACACCAUAAAACAACAAUAAUUAACCAGUAGAUUAAAGAUCUUUGUGCUUGAAAGCAAAACUUAGAAAAUAUUUUAGUAAUUUUGAAGUCUGUAUAGGCAAUCAAAUCCACACUGUAACAGUUGAAUGUGUCUUGCCAAUGGGUUUCAGCCCUAGGCAAGUUCGCUAUGGAUUCAAUGUGACCAAAGAAAAUGACAGCAAAACGUUCUUGGGGUGAAAGCGUUAUACCCAACUUUAUUUCCAGGUGGCAGGUCAGUCACUAGAAUCCCAUUCACUCAGAGCAAGUCUGUAUGCAGCAAGCCAGUCUCUGCCUCUGGGCCCCUCUGUCUGCACAGCUGUCCUGCACAGCCAUCCUCUGGGCCUCUCUACACAGUCAUCCCACACAGCCGUCCUCUGGGCCUCUGUCCUCGACACUGCCACCACUCCAGGCUCUGCUCUGCUCCCCUGCAGCCUUGCAGCUGUGCCACUACGUGGCACCCAAAGCAUUGGGCGGAGCUCUUUUUAUAGAGUCAACAGCCAUGUAUUACCCACAGGGGUGCAGUGAGCUAGUCAACCACAGCCAGGUGAGAAUCCUGGCCACAGGAACUCUUUUUAUCCACAAAUGUCUCUGCCCAGGUGAACAGGUCUUGAAAUGUUCAUAUCUAGUUUGCGAUUCUAGUUAUUGGUGUGUUGGAAAGCUCAAGAGCUUGUUAACUACCCCAGGGGCAGUGUCCACGAUGGAAAGGCCAGUGUCUGCUGCUAGAGAACCAUUCGCAUUUGUUGCCUAAGUGAAUUUCUGUGGUAGGCAACAGUUCAGAGACCUUGUUUCACUUGUCCAUGGAGAUUUAAAAACCUAAAAUAAAUCACUACAACAGAA